GACAGAGGGUGCAAACGUUGUUCGGAAUUACUGGGCGUAAAGCGUGCGCAGGCGGUUAUAUAAGACAGUUGUGAAAUCCCCGGGCUCAACCCUGGGAACUGCAUCUGUGACUGUAUAGCUAGAGUACGGUAGAGGGGGAUGGAAUUCCGCGUGUAGCAGUGAAAUGCGUAGAUAUGCGGAGGAACACCGAUGGCGAAGGCAAUCCCCUGGACCUGUACUGACGCUCAUGCACGAAAGCGUGGGGAGCAAACAGG
rnacentral:rRNA from 1 species